AAGCCACAUAGCCAUAUGCCUCGUCCUGAUUCUCCUGGCCGUUAGCAUGCAAGAAGCCUCCGUCGUCACGCCUGCCGGCCAACGAUGUGAAGGACCAGAUGGUUGUCAGUAAGAUUUAGUGGGAGUUAAAUCUGCAACAAUUAGUUAUAGUGAAAUUGCAAACGAUUAUGUGGCUUCAAAGGAUCCUGGCACGAAAGGUGAAAGCGGUAAAGUUGAUGCUGUUCAUGGCUCCAUACAAUAGGCUGCUCAGACCACCUCAAAUAAUAAGGCACCGCCGGCUCAACUGAGUUCACCGCCCGCUUAUGGAUUUUCUGAUCUCGCUUGCACAGGCUCGUGGUGAACACAUGACAUUGACCACUAUUCAGUUGCUUUGGAUUACUCUGAUAACCAGACUGCUGCUGCCGAUUCCCUUAACCAGAUUGCUGAUUGAAACCACCUUGAUUACCUUGGCCUUGAAAGCGAGAGCUUGAACCGCCACC